UAGUGUGUGCUUCACCUCACUGUGUGUGGGGACGGUGGUAGUGUGGUGUUUAAGGAGCUGGGUUAGCGUGCAGUAACCUGAAAGUUGUUGGUUCGAUUCCCGGCUUCCACCGUUAGAAUUUGCCA